rnacentral:rRNA from 1 species
GAUGAACGCUGGCGGCGUGCCUAAUACAUGCAAGUCGAGCGAACGGACGAGAAGCUUGCUUCUCUGAUGUUAGCGGCGGACGGGUGAGUAACACGUGGAUAACCUACCUAUAAGACUGGGAUAACUUCGGGAAACCGGAGCUAAUACCGGAUAAUAUUUUGAACCGCAUGGUUCAAAAGUGAAAGACGGUCUUGCUGUCACUUAUAGAUGGAUCCGCGCUGCAUUAGCUAGUUGGUAAGGUAACGGCUUACCAAGGCAACGAUGCAUAGCCGACCUGAGAGGGUGAUCGGCCACACUGGAACUGAGACACGGUCCAGACUCCUACGGGAGGCAGCAGUAGGGAAUCUUCCGCAAUGGGCGAAAGCCUGACGGAGCAACGCCGCGUGAGUGAUGAAGGUCUUCGGAUCGUAAAACUCUGUUAUUAGGGAAGAACAUAUGUGUAAGUAACUGUGCACAUCUUGACGGUACCUAAUCAGAAAGCCACGGCUAACUACGUGCCAGCAGCCGCGGUAAUACGUAAGUGGCAAGCGUUAUCCGGAAUUAUUGGGCGUAAAGCGCGCGUAGGCGGUUUUUUAAGUCUGAUGCGAAAGCCCACGGCUCAACCGUGGAGGGUCAUUGGAAACUGGAAAACUUGAGUGCAGAAGAGGAAAGUGGAAUUCCAUGUGUAGCGGUGAAAUGCGCAGAGAUAUGGAGGAACACCAGUGGCGAAGGCGACUUUCUGGUCUGUAACUGACGCUGAUGUGCGAAAGCGUGGGGAUCAAACAGGAUUAGAUACCCUGGUAGUCCACGCCGUAAACGAUGAGUGCUAAGUGUUAGGGGGUUUCCGCCCCUUAGUGCUGCAGCUAACGCAUUAAGCACUCCGCCUGGGGAGUACGACCGCAAGGUUGAAACUCAAAGGAAUUGACGGGGACCCGCACAAGCGGUGGAGCAUGUGGUUUAAUUCGAAGCAACGCGAAGAACCUUACCAAAUCUUGACAUCCUUUGACAACUCUAGAGAUAGAGCCUUCCCCUUCGGGGGACAAAGUGACAGGUGGUGCAUGGUUGUCGUCAGCUCGUGUCGUGAGAUGUUGGGUUAAGUCCCGCAACGAGCGCAACCCUUAAGCUUAGUUGCCAUCAUUAAGUUGGGCACUCUAAGUUGACUGCCGGUGACAAACCGGAGGAAGGUGGGGAUGACGUCAAAUCAUCAUGCCCCUUAUGAUUUGGGCUACACACGUGCUACAAUGGACAAUACAAAGGGCAGCGAAACCGCGAGGUCAAGCAAAUCCCAUAAAGUUGUUCUCAGUUCGGAUUGUAGUCUGCAACUCGACUACAUGAAGCUGGAAUCGCUAGUAAUCGUAGAUCAGCAUGCUACGGUGAAUACGUUCCCGGGUCU